GACGAACGCUGGCGGCGUGCCUAAUACAUGCAAGUCGAACGAAGCUGUUUUAACUGGUGCUUGCACCGACUUAAACAACUGAGUGGCGAACGGGUGAGUAACACGUGGGUAACCUGCCCCAAAGCGGGGGAUAACGUUUGGAAACAGAUGCUAAUACCGCAUAACCACAGAAACCACAUGGUUUCUGUGUCAAAGAUGGUUUCGGCUAUCACUUUGGGAUGGACCCGCGGCGUAUUAGCUAGUUGGUAAGGUAAUGGCUUACCAAGGCAAUGAUACGUAGCCGAACUGAGAGGUUGAUCGGCCACAUUGGGACGGAGACACGGCCCAAACUCCUACGGGAGGCAGCAGUAGGGAAUCUUCCACAAUGGACGAAAGUCUGAUGGAGCAACGCCGCGUGAGUGAAGAAGGUUUUCGGAUCGUAAAACUCUGUUGUCAGAGAAGAACGUGUGCGAGAGUAACUGCUCGUGCAGUGACGGUAUCUGGCCAGAAAGCCACGGCUAACUACGUGCCAGCCGCCGCCGUAA
rnacentral:rRNA from 1 species